rnacentral:piRNA from 1 species
UCUCACUUUCCAAAGUAAGUAACUGCUCAGAC